rnacentral:rRNA from 1 species
UACGUAGGGGGCUUGCGUUAUCCGGAAUUACUGGGCGUAAAGGGUGCGUAGGUGGUUUCUUAAGUCAGAGGUGAAAGGCUACGGCUCAACCGUAGUAAGCCUUUGAAACUGGGGAACUUGAGUGCAGGAGAGGAGAGUGGAAUUCCUAGUGUAGCGGUGAAAUGCGUAGAUAUUAGGAGGAACACCAGUUGCGAAGGCGGCUCUCUGGACUGUAACUGACACUGAGGCACGAAAGCGUGGGGAGCAAACAGG